UACGUAGGGUGCGAGCGUUGUCCGGAAUUACUGGGCGUAAAGAGCUCGUAGGUGGUUUGUCGCGUUUGUCCGUGAAAACUCACAACUCAAUUGUGGGCGUGCGGGCGAUACGGGCAGACUGGAGUACUGCAGGGGAGACUGGAAUUCCUGGUGUAGCGGUGGAAUGCGCAGAUAUCAAGGAGGAACACCGGUGGCGAAGGCGGGUCUCUGGGCAGUAACUGACGCUGAGGAGCGAAAGCGUGGGGAGCGAACAGG
rnacentral:rRNA from 1 species